rnacentral:rRNA from 1 species
AAGCAUAUCAAUAAGCGGAGGAAAAGAAACUAACAAGGAUUCCCCUAGUAGCGGCGAGCGAAGCGGGAAAAGCUCAAAUUUGUAAUCUGGCGUCUACGACGUCCGAGUUGUAAUCUCGAGAAGUGUUUUCCGUGAUAGACCGCAUACAAGUCUCUUGGAACAGAGCGUCAUAGUGGUGAGAACCCAGUACACGAUGCGGAUGCCUAUUACUUUGUGAUACACUUUCGAAGAGUCGAGUUGUUUGGGAAUGCAGCUCAAAUUGGGUGGUAAAUUCCAUCUAAAGCUAAAUAUUGGCGAGAGACCGAUAGCGAACAAGUACCGUGAGGGAAAGAUGAAAAGCACUUUGGAAAGAGAGUUAACAGUACGUGAAAUUGUUGGAAGGGAAACACAUGCAGCCAGACUUGCUAUUCGGGGCAACUCGAUUGGCAGGCCCGCAUCAGUUUUUCGGGGCGGAAAAGCAUAGAGAGAAGGUAGCAAUUUCGGUUGUGUUAUAGCUCUUUAUUGGAUUCGCCCUGGGGGACUGAGGAACGCAGCGUGCUUUUAGCAUAAGCUUCGGCUUAUCCACGCUUAGGAUGCGGGUGUAAUGGCUGUAUAUGACCC